CCGGCUAGCUCAGUUGGCAGAGCAUGGGACUCUUAAUUUCAAGGUCGUGGGUUCGAGCCCCACGUUGG
rnacentral:tRNA from 1 species